CCCAACUAUCCCUAUUAAUCAUUACGUCAAUCCUAGAAACCAACAAAAUAGGAUCGUCGUCCUAUUUCAUUAUUCCAUGCUAAUGUAUUCAAGCGUUAGCCUGCUUUAAACACUCUAAUUUUUUCAAAGUAACAGUCCUGUUUCCCCGCAACACCAACUUAAUGGCAUUACGGUUCUACAAGAAGGAGGAAUCAGCAAAGCCAGUGCAUACCAGUGGCACGACCAACUUGCUGACCCCGAAAUUCAACUACGAGCUUUUUAACUGCAACAACUUUAAUAUACGCUAUUGGAGCUGGAAUUACCGCGGCUGCUGGCACCAGACUUGCCCUCCAA
rnacentral:misc_RNA from 2 species